rnacentral:rRNA from 1 species
GCCAGCGGCCAGCAUGGGAAUCAAGGGAUGUCAUCUGAUCUCGGGAGCUAAGUAGGGUCAGGUCUGGUCAGUACUUGGAUAGGAGACUGGUUGGGAACACCAGGCGCUGUAGACU